GACGAACGCUGGCGGCGUGCUUAACACAUGCAAGUCGAACGGAAAGGCCUCUUUCGGGGGGUACUCGAGUGGCGAACGGGUGAGUAACACGUGAGUAACCUGCCCUUGACUUUGGGAUAACUUCAGGAAACUGGGGCUAAUACCGGAUAGGAGCUCCUGCUGCAUGGUGGGGGUUGGAAAGUUUCGGCGGUUGGGGAUGGACUCGCGGCUUAUCAGCCUGUUGGUGGGGUAGUGGCUUACCAAGGCUUUGACGGGUAGCCGGCCUGAGAGGGUGACCGGCCACAUUGGGACCGAGAUAAGGCCCAGACUCCUACGGGAGGCAGCAGUGGGGAAUAUUGCACAAUGGGUGGAAGCCUGAUGCAGCAACGCCGUGUGCGGGAUGACGGCCUUCGGGUUGUAAACCGCUUUCGCUCAUGACGAAGCUUUGUGUGACGGUAGUGGGUAAAGAAGCACCGGCUAACUACGUG
rnacentral:rRNA from 1 species